AAAGUUACAACCUAAAUAAAAUUUAUUUUUAAUGAUUUUAAAGUUUGACAGACAUGCACAAAUUGUUGGCAUUUUGUUAAACAAGUAAAAGUAGGAAGUACAUAAAAUUGUAGGUACUUUCAAGAAAUAUAGUUAACUACAAGAAUUAGAUUACAGUGAUGGUCAAAAGCAUUUAGAUAUUGCUUUGAAAUCUACAGAUAAGAUAUGGCAGUUUCAUUUUAAAGAACAAGAUGUUAAAGUUUGUGAUAAAAUUGUCAUCAGAAAUACUGUCCACUUCAGUAUUUAUAUAGGAAAAUAUUGGAGGAUGAAGCUCUACCUACUGCCUCAGGUUAAUUUAAAUUCUGAAUUGCAACAACAGCAACAAGCAAGAAGGGCACCAUUAAAUGAAUAUUAUACACAU